AGGACGAACGCUGGCGGCGUGCUUAACACAUGCAAGUCGAGCGGAAAGGCCACUUCGGUGGUACUCGAGCGGCGAACGGGUGAGUAACACGUGAGUAAUCUGCCCUUCACUUGGGGAUAACUACCGGAAACGGUGGCUAAUACCCGAUACGACAGCUCCUCGCAUGAGGUGGUUGUGGAAAGUUUUUUCGGUGGAGGAUGUGCUCGCGGCCUAUCAGCUUGUUGGUGGGGUAAUGGCCUACCAAGGCUUCGACGGGUAGCCGGCCUGAGAGGGUGACCGGCCACACUGGGACUGAGACACGGCCCAGACUCCUACGGGAGGCAGCAGUGGGAAUAUUGGACAAUGGGCGGAAGCCUGAUCCAGCAACGCCGCGUGAGGGAUGACGGCCUUCGGUGUAAACCUCUUCAGUAGGACGAAGCGCAAGUGACGGUACCUACAGAAGAAGCACCGGCCAACUACGUGCCAGCAGCCGC
rnacentral:rRNA from 1 species